AUUGAACGCUAGCGGGAUGCCUUACACAUGCAAGUCGAGCGGUAGCACAGGGAGCUUGCUCCUGGGUGACGAGCGGCGGACGGGUGAGUAAUGUCUGGGAAACUGCCUGAUGGAGGGGGAUAACUACUGGAAACGGUAGCUAAUACCGCAUAAUGUCGCAAGACCAAAGAGGGGGACCUUAGGGCCUCUUGCCAUCAGAUGUGCCCAGAUGGGAUUAGCUAGUAGGUGGGGUAACGGCUCACCUAGGCGACGAUCCCUAGCUGGUCUGAGAGGAUGACCA
rnacentral:rRNA from 1 species